GGAACAUGGUAUUAUUACAGAGGUACAGAUAUAUUUGUUCAUUUUUCUCCUUCCUUGAAUGGAUUUUGGAAGAUAUGGUACCUUAGCUAGGAAGAUCUACAGAGAGCUUUUCUAAUCCUUGGCAGUAACAAGAGAGAUGGAAAUUGAGCCAAUACUGUAACUGAGAGUUACAACAGUAAUCUGAGUCAAGUUAUAAACUGUACUGGGUUGCCUGUGUUGCCAUCAAAGGGAUACUGUUUAGAACAGCAGAGCUGAGAGAUCUCUGGGAAUUCCCCGUGUUGAUCAGAUCCCUGGGUCAGAUCAGUCAGAAAUGGUGAAAUUCUGGGCUCAAAAUAUGAGUGUGAUCCUCCUGAAGAUGGUUGCAGCCCCUCUUCAUUUCUCUCAGCAAGUUAAUGAUACCUUUUGCUCUUUGGGAAAAAUCACUCCAGAAAACUCUCUGAAAGGAAAAGAAUGGAUAGGGAACCCCUUCUUGACUGGAAAAAAUCCAAAUGAAAGAGUUAAUGAAGCAAAACCAUCAAGGGAGUCCCAACACAAUCACCAUUGAAAGGAAAGCAUAUAUUUGACAAAUUUGCAUAGAUGGAAAUGAUACCAGCAGCCCUAUCUCUGUACAAUUCUGUCCCAUCCAUCCGUAAGCGAAGGACAUGGUGCUUUUUAUGUUACCUGUAGCUCACUGAGUACCAGACAAGCACAUUUUCAGCCAUGAGAAAGCCACGGGGCUACAUGUUCGUUCUGCACAGAGGGCUGCAUUCCAUGCAUGCAUUGAAAUUACAGCUAAAUGGAAACUGGAGUUCCUCAGGGCAAGAACCAUAACUUCUAAUUAACAAAGGUAAAAGAUAAACUGGAAAAAAAAAUAUUCUUUCAGAUAUGGCUAAAAUUAUGAUGUGAGUCUUAGAAAUAUUUAUCUUUCCUUCCAUAAGUGAACAUUCUUCUGGUGACUUAGAGUUUUUCUUGGACUGUUAUUACUGUUUCACAAUGAUCUAAGGCUUUAUUUGUAGUCUUAGUGGUGCUUAUAUAAUUACAUAAAUCUAAAAAAAAUAUAGUGUCUGAUUAUGCUAAAUUCCAGUUAAAAUGAGUCAAUUGAAAAAGGAACUAUACCUCAACGUUUCAGCUACACUUCAGAGGAUCGUGUAUUCACGUGCUUAGGGGGGUGCAGAAUGAAUGAUCUUGUCACAGGAGACCGUCAGGAUUUCUGUGAAACUCCAAAUAUAAUUAAAAUGUCUAAUGUGUAUUCACAAAUACAUUAAAUACAGCAUUCAAACUCUCUGGUAGUCCUGCAAAAAAAAAAAAAACUAGAGUUGGGCCAAGUGAGAAAUGAGACCAUUUAUCUCCUCUGAGAGCUUGUCUUUGAGAAAGCACAUGAGAAAGCCAAGGCUAAUUAACUGAAAAUACAGAAUUAGAGUUGAUGAAAUAGCUAUUCUCAUGCCAUGAAUACAGAAUCAGCUGAACUCUGCCAAUGAUGCUUUAUCUCUGUGUGGCACCACCAGACAUACCUCCAGGAUUUUCUAGACGUACCACCCAUCCACAGAGUAAUUGUGCCCACUAACCAGCCCACACCUUAAAUCUGAUCCUUCCUAUAUAUGCCAAAGUGAUUUCACACAUCUGAGGUGACUGCAUAGUGCAUGUGGAGCAUAUCCUAUGCUUCCUGUAGCACCAGGCAUCAUAUGAGUGAGAUAUACAUCCACACUGUGUGCCCACUCUCCAGUUGUCUAGAAUAUUUCUGUAUGCAACAGGUCCAAAACUGCCAGUGCCCAUGUCGGUAGACAGCACACGCAAAACAGCGCCUGACCUUUUACCAAGAACUAGUCUCUAAGAAGGCUGAAAAUCCCUGACAAAUAUAGAAAGUGAUCAAAAUUUGCCCAGGCAAGAUUUCCAGGCAAGAGAAGGGCACAUGCUGGGAAACAGCAAGCAAGAAGCCAGAGGACGUGCCAGGAAUGGCAGUUCUGCUGUAUCAUCCACGGCUGUUAAUGUAUGCUGUUGCUGUUGGAAAGUAUGUCAAUAUAAAUAUUAAAACUUCUUCUGCAGAAGCAUGUCUUCCUACCAGCUAGUUAAAUCAUGAAAUCAAUAGUCUGUAUUAUAUCAUAUAUUAAUGACUAGAGCUGGAUCAAAUACAAUUCAGGUUCAUUGCAUAGUUUUCCAUGAUUACAGUUCACCUUUUUCUCUUGCCUGGGCCAGAAAAAUCUUACUGAUGACAUACAACAAUCAUUUCUCUCAGUAUUACAGAAAACCUUAGGAGCAACAGGAUCAGACAUGCUGAGAAAUUCUCUUAGUAAUUGCUCAGAAUGAAAACCAAACACCUUACAAGAUACUUGAUAAAAAUAUGAAACAUUUAAGAAAUGCACAGCAUUAAAAAGGAAACAUAAUUUUUCAACAAUUUUGACCAGCAGUGUAAUGUGUUUCCAAUAGAGUAAUGUGUUUCUGGGUUUUGUAGUCAGGGAUCUUUGCAGAGCACAGCAGAUCUGAUCCUAAGCUUUUCCAGCUCAAAAAGCUAGUAACAAUAGCUCGUAUCUCUUGCAUAUGCUCUCCACAGUGCCCCACAAACCUCUGUAGGUGAGAAGUGUCUAAGCUUUUGCUGGCUGCCAGUCCCAAGAUGCUAACUUCCUCUUUCAGUGUAGGAUAGAAGCAAAAAUGGCACAAAACAUGGCAAAACACUCAUGACGGCUCCAGAAAUCACUCAGUUUUCAUCAAUAGUAUGUACCGUAUGCUGCCAUGGGGAGUUUGGCUACCAUGCACUUCUUCUUAGUAGAAAACAUUCUCCAUCUAGUAAGAAUUUGCUGAAUGUGUAAUGCCUCCCUAUUAAUUCUGAGCGAGCAAUGUGCACCUGAGAAUCCCGAUACGCAGCUGGAUCAACAUUCCCGCGCACUCAUGCGGUGACUCAUUGGGUCUGAUCCAGUUCAUCUCGCCAAUUAAUGAAAACAACAGCACCUUCAAAGUCCAGCCUUAAGCCUUUUAUCUCAAACCACUUGACCAUUGCUAAAAAUAAUGAUUUGCUUCCUAUGAUAUACAUGGAGAUCCAGGACAUUUUACAAAGGAUACAAUAAAAAUACAUAUGUCUUCA
rnacentral:lncRNA from 1 species